GGCUCAGAACGAACGCUGGCGGCGUGCCUAACACAUGCAAGUUGAACGGGGUACAUGAUUGUAGCAAUACAGUGGUGUACUUAGUGGCGGACGGGUGAGUAACACGUAGGUAACCUGCCCUCAGGAGGGGGACAACCCGGGGAAACCCGGGCUAAUACCGCAUAAGACCACAGACUGGGAUGUCCGUGGUAAAAGUAGCGAUACACCUGAGGAUGGGCCUGCGGCCUAUCAGGUAGUUGGUGGGGUAACGGCCCACCAAGCCUAAGACGGGUAGCCGGGCUGAGAGGUUGGACGGCCACACUGGAACUGAGACACGGUCCAGACUCCUACGGGAGGCAGCAGUGGGGAAUUUUGCACAAUGGGCGAAAGCCUGAUGCAGCGACGCCGCGUGGAGGAUGAAGGCCUUCGGGUUGUAAACUCCUUCUGUAGGGGACAAUGAUGAUGGUACCCUAUGAAUAAGCCACGGCUAACUCUGUGCCAGCAGCCGCGGUAAGACAGAGGUGGCGAGCGUUGUUCGGAAUCACUGGGCUUAAAGGGCGCGUAGGUGGUAGUGCAAGUCUGAGGUGGAAUCUUAGGGCUUAACCCUAAAAUUGCCUUGGAAACUGUAUUACUUGAGUCAGUGAGGGGAGGGUAGAAUUCCUGGUGUAGCGGUGAAAUGCGUAGAUAUCAGGAGGAAGGCCGGUGGCGAAGGCGGCCCUCUGGCGCUGAACUGACACUGAGGCGCGAAAGCGUGGGUAGCAAACAGGAUUAGAUACCCUGGUAGUCCACGCCCUAAACGGUGGGUACUAGGUGUAGGGCUUGUAAGGGUUCUGUGCCGAAGCGAAAGCAUUAAGUACCCCGCCUGGGGAGUACGG
rnacentral:rRNA from 1 species